rnacentral:tRNA from 1 species
CGAGAAGUAGUUUAAUGGGAAAACACCGGAAUACGUCAAAGUGUCUUGUUAGACACAAACAGCAAUAAUAUUUGAUGACCGUGGCCGGAGACAGAGGUUCGAUUCCUCUCUUCUCGA